AGUGCUUGUGUUCCUGAGUGUAGGUUCUGAGCUAUUAGGUUACUACAGACUACAGAGAUACAACGUGAAAUCUCCACCUCUUUAUGGUGAGGGUCUCUCCCGUAUGUACCCUCAGCCCACAGGAGAGAGAGGUACAUGGGAUGGCACAUGUGGCACAACUGGACUCCUUUGGGCUUCAGUGAUCCAACCUCUCAUCACAGUGGACAUUGGCUGAGCACAUCUGAUGUCCUCAUUAUCCAAGUUGGCCUGGGGAGGAAUUGCUGCCUAAGGAUGCCAGUGGAAACAUUAUUUUUGAUACUGUGGAUCUUCGUGACACAUGGGAGGCCCUGGAGAAGUGCAAAGAAGCAGGUUUAACCAAGUCCAUCGGGGUGUCCAAUUUCAAUCACAAACUGCUGGAACUCAUCCUCAACAAGCCAGGGCUCAAGUACAAGCCCACCUGCAACCAGGAUGGACCCAGAUAGCCCAUAUCUCUUAGAGGAGCCAACCUUGAAAUCCAUUGCCAAGAAAUACAAUAGAAGCCCAGGCCAGGUUGCCCUGUGCUAUGAGCUGCAGCGGGGGGGUGGUGGUCCUGGCCAAGAGCUUCUCUGAGAAGAGAAUCAAAGAGAACUUCCAGGUUUUUGACUUUGAGUUGACUCCAGAGGACAUGAAAGCCACUGAUGGCCUCAACAGAAAUUUCCGAUAUGCUAAGUUACAAUUGAUCUGUUGACAUUGUCUUUUGUUGUUCAUAUGGAAAACUCAAGCUUUUCAGUUUGCCAACAUUCUCAACUCUUCAGAAUUUCUACUGAUGUCUAGAUUAUA
rnacentral:lncRNA from 1 species